GGAAAGGUGGCCGAGUGGUUUAAGGCACUAGUCUUGAAAACUAGAGGGUGUUAAAGCUCCGUGGGUUCGAAUCCCACCCUUUCCGCCA
rnacentral:tRNA from 1 species